GCAAGUCGAGCGAAGACUUCGGUCUUAGCGGCGGACGGGUGAGUAACGCGUGGGAACGUACCUUUCUCUACGGAACAGUCCCGGGAAACUGGGUUUAAUACCGUAUACGCCCUUCGGGGGAAAGAUUUAUCGGAGAGAGAUCGGCCCGCGUUAGAUUAGAUAGUUGGUGGGGUAAUGGCCUACCAAGUCUACGAUCUAUAGCUGGUUUGAGAGGAUGAUC
rnacentral:rRNA from 1 species